UAGCCGUAAACGAUACUCGCUAGGUGUCGGCCACGGUGCGACCGUUGUCGGUGCCGUAGGGAAGCCGUGAAGCGAGCCACCUGGGAAGUACGGCCGCAAGGCUGAAACUUAAAGGAAUUGGCGGGGGAGCACCACAACGGGUGGAGCUUGCGGUUUAAUUGGAUUCAACGCCGGGAAGCUCACCCGAUAAGACAGCGGAAUGAUUGCCGGGCUGAAGACCCUGCAUGACCAGCUGAGAGGAGGUGCAUGGCGUAGUCGUGU
rnacentral:rRNA from 1 species